rnacentral:rRNA from 1 species
GAAUAUUGGACAAUGGGCGAAAGCCUGAUCCAGCCAUGCCGCGUGUGUGAAGAAGGUUUUCGGAUUGUAAAGCACUUUAAGCUGGGAGGAAGGGCAGUAAGUUAAUACCUUGCUGUUUUGACGUUACCAGCAGAAUAAGCACCGGCUCACUUCGUGCCAGCAGCCGCGGUAAUACGAAGGGUGCAAGCGUUAAUCGGAAUUACUGGGCGUAAAGCGUGCGCAGGCGGCUCCUUAAGUCAGAUGUGAAAGCCCCGGGCUUAACCUGGGAACUGCGUUUGAAACUGGGGAGCUAGAGUGUGGAAGAGGGGGGUGGAAUUCCAGGUGUAGCAGUGAAAUGCGUAGAGAUCUGGAGGAACACCGAUGGCGAAGGCAGCCCCCUGGGCUAACACUGACGCUCAUGCACGAAAGCGUGGGGAGCAAACAGG